CAAAGUACGUUGAUUGGGAGAGUAUGGUGAUGAAUAGCUUUCAAAGCGAGUCAGGGAUGGUGGAAGCCUGAUAAAGCCCAUUAUCAGAAGAUCACCCAUGAAGUAGUUGUGUUGAAUAUAAGUAGACGCAAUCGUUUCAUUCACGAUACGAAUGUUGGAGUGGACAAUGACUGAUUGAUCAUCGGCAUUGUCUAUGAGGGUGGUACCGCGAGUCCUUCUCGUCCCUUAG
rnacentral:ncRNA from 1 species